AAUGAGACAUUGAUUUCCAGCUGUGUUAGCAUAAUUUCUCUUCAUCAUUAAACAAUCAAUGUGGCUACAGAUACAAGGGACAUUGCAGGGACAGAGGUUAUGGUCAUGUUGGUGGCAUUGAGGAAGGAACAAACCGUGUCCACAUGCACCUUGGCCGAGGAUGUAUGAUGGACAUGUUCUUCCCCUCAUCAGCACCAUCCUGGUUAUGCCAUCCAGCUUGUCUGUGAGCCAUCUUGGGGAAAGGCAGGGUACGGAUAUAAAUCAGCAUGGGCUCCCAGGAGCCUCACCCGAGUCCUGUAUUCUCACCCAUGUACUCCAGGGAAGGCCGGGCACAACAAGACAGAGAGAGGGUUUAGGGUUACGGCAGCCUCCCUCAAGCAACCUCUCAAUGCUGCUACUUUGAGUGGGUUUCUGCUACUCCAGAUUGCCACUGGACCUUGCACAACAGGCUGAUGGGAAAGCCCCUGGUUGCGUGAUGGUCAAUGGUGAUGAGAAGGCAGAAGGAGACAUAGUCCUGUGGUCCUGCAAUUAUUUGUGAUAGGAGAGGAAUCUGGAAGAUUAUGAAACAGUGCCAGGCUGCCUUAUGUGGUGGACUGCCAGCCCCGGCAAAUUGCCAGUUGCCCUCAUUGCAGCCGGCUGCUUUGAACUCUCCUGGACGCCUUGGGGAUCUCAGCUGCAAUCAGCUACUGGUUCGGAAGCAGGAUGCUGGUUCCAGAGUCACAUCCCACCCACACAGUGGUUUCAAACAGCUUGCGAGAAACGUAGUGCCCACCACUAGCCUCUUUGAACUCUAGAUGACCCUGUAACCAUUUCCACUCACACCAGAAAGGAGCCUUCUCUUGUUGGACUGAGAAUGAAGGACUGUGUGGAGUUGGUGCGAA